UACGGAGGGUGCAAGCGUUGUCCGGAUUUAUUGGGCUUAAAGGGUGCGCAGGCGGCCCGUUAAGUCAGUGGUGAAAGCCUCCAGCUCAACUGGAGAACUGCCAUUGAUACUGUCGGGCUUGAGUACAGACGAGGUUGGCGGAAUUGAUUGUGUAGCGGUGAAAUGCAUAGAUACAAUCAAGAACUCCGAUUGCGUAGGCAGCUAACUAGGCUGUAACUGACGCUGAGGCACGAAAGCGUGGGGAGCGAACAGG
rnacentral:rRNA from 1 species